rnacentral:rRNA from 1 species
GCUCUAUUGGUAUCCUGAGUAGGACGGAACACGUGAUAUUUUGUCUGAAUCCGGGGGGACCACCCUCCAAC